rnacentral:rRNA from 1 species
CAGUAGCCACGGGAAAACGUAGGGGGCGAGCGUUGUCCGAAGUUACUGGGCGUAAAGAGCGCGUAGGCUGGUCUUUAAGUGAGUGGUGAAAGGUUCGGGCUCAACCCGGACACUGCCUUUCAUACUGGGGACCUUGUGUGUGGGAGAGGCGAGUGGAAUGGUCGGUGUAGCGGUGAAAUGCGUAGAUAUCGAUCGGAACACCCAUGGCGAAGGCAGCUCGCUGGCCUAACACUGACGCUGAGGCGCGAAAGCGUGGGGAGCAAAUGCGAUUAGAUACCCCCGUAGUCCCUGUCUCUUAUAC